GGGAUUAGUCUCUCAUUUGACGGUUUAUUGAGUUAAAGGAUAACUCUGGAUUUAUGUGAUUGAGUUAAAGGAUAACUCUGGAUUUAUGUGAAACAAGGUACCCGGAAUAUAUGUAUAAGGAAAAGGAAUACAUAUGGAAAAAAAGGAAACAGUGAGGGAGAG